rnacentral:rRNA from 1 species
AAGACCUUGCGCUUUUGGAGCGGCCGAUGCCUGAUUAGCUUGUUGGUAAGGUAAAAGCUUACCAGGCUUCGAUCAGUAGCUGGUCUGAGAGGACGGCCAGCCACACUGGGACUGAGACACGGCCCAGACUCCUACGGGAGGCAGCAGUGGGGAAUUUUGGACAAUGGGGGCAACCCUGAUCCAGCCAUGCCGCGUGAGUGAAGAAGGCCUUCGGGUUGUAAAGCUCUUUCAGCCGGAACGAAACGGUUACGGUUAAUACCCGUGAUUACUGACGGUACCGGAAGAAGAAGCACCGGCUAACUACGUGCCAGCAGCCGCGGUAAUACGUAGGGUGCGAGCGUUAAUCGGAAUUACUGGGCGUAAAGCGUGCGCAGGUGGUUUUGUAAGUCAGAUGUGAAAGCCCCGGGCUCAACCUGGGAACU